AAGUCGUAACAAGGUUUCCGUAGGUGAACCUGCGGAAGGAUCAUUAAAAAAAUGAGGUAUUUUAUACCUCUUGUAUUUAAAACCCAACUCUUUAAAAUAUUUUUUUUAAAUAAAAAAAAACUUUCAACAAUGGAUCUCUUGGCUCUC
rnacentral:misc_RNA from 1 species